rnacentral:rRNA from 1 species
GACGAACGCUGGCGGCGUGCUUAACACAUGCAAGUCGAACGAUGAAGGAGGAGCUUGCUCCUCUGGAUUAGUGGCGAACGGGUGAGUAACACGUGAGCAAUCUGCCCUUGACUCUGGGAUAAGCGCUGGAAACGGCGUCUAAUACCGGAUACGACCCUCGGGGGCAUCUCCUGUGGGUGGAAAGAACUUCGGUCAAGGAUGAGCUCGCGGCCUAUCAGCUUGUUGGUGAGGUAAUGGCUCACCAAGGCGACGACGGGUAGCCGGCCUGAGAGGGUGGACGGCCACACUGGGACUGAGACACGGCCCAGACGCCUACGGGAGGCAGCAGUGGGGAAUAUUGCACAAUGGGCGCAAGCCUGAUGCAGCAACGCCGCGUGAGGGACGAUGAAGGCCUUCGGGUUGUAAAGUCCAGUAAGCAGGGAAGAAUAAGCAGGAGGUAAUAUUUCCUGUGAUGGCGGUACCUGCCUAAAGCCUCGGCUAACUACGUGCCAGC